rnacentral:lncRNA from 1 species
UUUCAUCACAAUUUUUUCAUAUAUUUUGGUAGAUAUAUUCACUUUCUGAGAAAUUUUGACAUUAGACCAACGUAGUAUACCAAACAGAUGAUCUAUGUUGAUUUCAAUGAAUAACCACGUGAAAUUGCUUCAGGGCUAGCAAAGCUCCACCAAGAUGUUAGGACGUGUGAGUAUGAGGAUGUCCACAUCUUGUGGAAUAUGCUGAAUAGAAAUGAGACAGGUCUCAGUAGAAGGAAAAAGAGGUACUUUUGGGACAUCAUUCAAUGGGCUCCAUUCGCUUGCCGUGGUGCUUCUUCUCUUUGAUACUCACAACGUAUUUUUAAAUUCUCGAAAUCAGUCUAUUCAUUAUUUUGUGUUAAGAUGAAGCCCUGAAUUUCAUAUGCUGCUGUUUAUUAUGUAAACCAGUAUAGAUUAUUUUGUUUUUGUUUAUUUAAUGUCAAAUGUAUGGUGGUGGAGUAUUUGCUUCUCUUACUGAAUGCUUCUUGACAUGUAUGGUGAAUACAAACUCUUAUCAGAAGUUGACAUACCUUUAUCAAUAUAAAAUGGUGUGAAAAAUUUUGAUACUUGUAAAUAGAUCGUAUGUAUGUUUUUAAU